GAGUCUCUUUUCUUUUUACGAGCUUUCACCCUGAAAUCAGCUUGCCUGGAGAUAGGGUUUAAUGCUCGGUAAAGCACCACACUUCUUGUGGUGUCCGGUGCGCUCUCGACGGCCCUUGAAAAUUCGGGGAAGACAUUGAUUUUCGUGUCCGGUCGUACUCAUAACCGCAGCAGGUCUCCAAGGUGAGCAGCCUCUGGUUGAUAGAACAAUGUAGGUAAGGGAAGUGCCACAGGUAUCCCACAGACCAUUAUUUGUAAUUUUAAUUGAAAUACGGACCGAUAUCUAAAGA
rnacentral:ncRNA from 1 species